UACGUAGGGUGCAAGCGUUGUCCGGAAUUAUUGGGCGUAAAGAGCUCGUAGGCGGUCUGUCGCGUCGAAUGUGAAAACCCGGGGCUCAACCCCGGGCCUGCAUUCGAUACGGGCAGACUAGAGUUCGGUAGGGGAGUCUGGAAUUCCUGGUGUAGCGGUGAAAUGCGCAGAUAUCAGGAGGAACACCGAUGGCGAAGGCAGGUCUCUGGGCCAUAACUGACGCUGAGAAGCGAAAGCAUGGGGAGCGAACAGG
rnacentral:rRNA from 1 species